CAGCAGUCAAGAACGGACAAACCAAACACUGGCUGUAGUGAGAGCCUUUCGUGUUUUUAUGUUACCUGAAGACCACCGUAGUUCUCCGAUACGCUUGUGAAACUGCGAUAGCGUGAGCCGCAGAGUUCAAAACCGUUGUACCGCCAGCCGCCGUCUGACUUCUUCUAUGAGAGAAA